AACGAACGCUGGCGGCAGGCUUAACACAUGCAAGUCGAGCGGGCGUAGCAAUACGUCAGCGGCAGACGGGUGAGUAACGCGUGGGAACGUACCUUUUGGUUCGGAACAACCCAGGGAAACUUGGGCUAAUACCGGAUAAGCCCUUACGGGGAAAGAUUUAUCGCCGAAAGAUCGGCCCGCGUCUGAUUAGCUAGUUGGUGGUGUAAAGGACCACCAAGGCGAUGAUCAGUAGGGGAACUGAGAGGUUGAUCCCCCACACUGGCACUGAGACACGGCCCAAACUCCUACGGGAGGCAGCAGUGGGGAAUAUUGGACAAUGGGCGCAAGCCUGAUCCAGCCAUGCCGCGUGAGUGAUGACGGCCUUAGGGUUGUAAAGCUCUUUCGCACGCGACGAUAAUGACGGUAGCGUGAGAAGAAGCCCCGGCUAACUUCGUGCCAGCAGCCGCGGUAAGAC
rnacentral:rRNA from 1 species